CCAUUUGAAAGAAAUUCUGAAAGAGUAAAAGACCUACGGCAUGAAUAUGUGCAGAGUUUUGCUAAUUGAUGCUGAUCCAAUCCCACAUGAAUUUAUCUUCAUAUAUGAGGCUGGGUUUAACCUGACUAAAGUAAGAAGAAGA